rnacentral:rRNA from 1 species
UAGGAUGAAGGGUUUGAUCCUGGCUCAGGGUUAACGCUGGCGGCGUGCGUAACACAUGCAAGUCGGACGGGUUAUGCUUCUUCGGAAGUAUAACCAGUGGCGAACGGGU